rnacentral:rRNA from 1 species
UACGGAGGGUGCGAGCGUUGUCCGGAAUCACUGGGCGUAAAGGGCGCGUAGGCGGCCUGGCAAGUCGAUGGUGAAAGCCCGAGGCUCAACUUCGGGUCGGCCACUGAUACUGCUGGGCUUGAGUCGACUAGAGGCAGAUGGAAUUCCGGGUGUAGCGGUGGAAUGCGUAGAGAUCCGGAAGAACACCGGUGGCGAAGGCAGCCCCCUGGGUCAAGACUGACGCUCAUGCACGAAAGCGUGGGGAGCAAACAGG